CCCCCACGCCGCGUGAAGGAAGAAAGGCUUUCGGGUUGGAAACUUCUUUUAUGUGGGACGAAAAGUGACGGUCCACAUGAAUAAGCCACGGCUAACUACGUGCCACAGCCGCGGUAAUACGUAGGUGGCAAGCGUUGUCCGGAUUUACUGGGUGUAAAGGGCGCGUAGCGGGUAGGCAAGUCAGUGUGAAAUCUAUGGGCUCAACCCAUAAACUGCACUUGAAACUGUUUAUCUUGAUGAUGGAGAGGCAAUUGGAAUUCCUAAGUACGGUGAAAUGCGUAAUAUUAGGAGGAACACCAUGGCAAGGCGAUUGCUGGACUUACUGACCUGAGGCCAAACGUGGGGCAACGGAUAAACCUG
rnacentral:rRNA from 1 species